GGGUUGUGAGGUUAAGCGACUAAGCGUACACGGUGGAUGCCCUGGCAGUCAGAGGCGAUGAAGGGCGUGCUAAUCUGCGAUAAGCGCCGGUAAGGUGAUAUGAACCGUUAUAACCGGCGAUACCCGAAUGGGGAAACCCAGUGUGAUUCGUCACACUAUCAUUAACUGAAUCCAUAGGUUAAUGAGGCGAACCGGGGGAACUGAAACAUCUAAGUACCCCGAGGAAAAGAAAUCAACCGAGAUUCCCCCAGUAGCGGCGAGCGAACGGGGAGGAGCCCAGAGCCUGAAUCAGCAUGUGUGUUAGUGGAAGCGUCUGGAAAGGCGCGCGAUACAGGGUGACAGCCCCGUACACAAAAGCGCAUGUGCUGUGAGCUCGAUGAGUAGGGCGGGACACGUGGUAUCCUGUCUGAAUAUGGGGGGACCAUCCUCCAAGGCUAAAUACUCCUGACUGACCGAUAGUGAACCAGUACCGUGAGGGAAAGGCGAAAAGAACCCCGGCGAGGGGAGUGAAAAAGAACCUGAAACCGUGUACGUACAAGCAGUGGGAGCNNNNNNNNNNNNNNNNNNNNNNNNNNNNNNNNNNNNNNNNGGGCGUUAAGUUGCAGGGUAUAGACCCGAAACCCGGUGAUCUAGCCAUGGGCAGGUUGAAGGUUGGGUAACACUAACUGGAGGACCGAACCGACUAAUGUUGAAAAAUUAGCGGAUGACCUGUGGCUGGGGGUGAAAGGCCAAUCAAACCGGGAGAUAGCUGGUUCUCCCCGAAAGCUAUUUAGGUAGCGCCUCGUGAAUUCAUCUCCGGGGGUAGAGCACUGUUUCGGCUAGGGGGCCAUCCCGGCUUACCAACCCGAUGCAAACUGCGAAUACCGGAGAAUGUUAUCACGGGAGACACACGGCGGGUGCUAACGUCCGUCGUGAAGAGGGAAACAACCCAGACCGCCAGCUAAGGUCCCAAAGUCAUGGUUAAGUGGGAAACGAUGUGGGAAGGCCCAGACAGCCAGGAUGUUGGCUUAGAAGCAGCCAUCAUUUAAAGAAAGCGUAAUAGCUCACUGGUCGAGUCGGCCUGCGCGGAAGAUGUAACGGGGCUAAACCAUGCACCGAAGCUGCGGCAGCGACACUGUGUGUUGUUGGGUAGGGGAGCGUUCUGUAAGCCUGUGAAGGUGUGUCGUGAGGCAUGCUGGAGGUAUCAGAAGUGCGAAUGCUGACAUAAGUAACGAUAAAGCGGGUGAAAAGCCCGCUCGCCGGAAGACCAAGGGUUCCUGUCCAACGUUAAUCGGGGCAGGGUGAGUCGACCCCUAAGGCGAGGCCGAAAGGCGUAGUCGAUGGGAAACGGGUUAAUAUUCCCGUACUUGGUGUUACUGCGAAGGGGGGACGGAGAAGGCUAUGUUGGCCGGGCGACGGUUGUCCCGGUUUAAGCGUGUAGGUGUGUGUUCCAGGUAAAUCCGGUUCACUUUAACACUGAGGCGUGACGACGAGGCACUACGGUGCUGAAGCAACAAAUGCCCUGCUUCCAGGAAAAGCCUCUAAGCAUCAGGUAACAUCAAAUCGUACCCCAAACCGACACAGGUGGUCAGGUAGAGAAUACCAAGGCGCUUGAGAGAACUCGGGUGAAGGAACUAGGCAAAAUGGUGCCGUAACUUCGGGAGAAGGCACGCUGACACGUAGGUGAAGUGAUUUACUCAUGGAGCUGAAGUCAGUCGAAGAUACCAGCUGGCUGCAACUGUUUAUUAAAAACACAGCACUGUGCAAACACGAAAGUGGACGUAUACGGUGUGACGCCUGCCCGGUGCCGGAAGGUUAAUUGAUGGGGUCAGCGCAAGCGAAGCUCCUGAUCGAAGCCCCGGUAAACGGCGGCCGUAACUAUAACGGUCCUAAGGUAGCGAAAUUCCUUGUCGGGUAAGUUCCGACCUGCACGAAUGGCGUAAUGAUGGCCAGGCUGUCUCCACCCGAGACUCAGUGAAAUUGAACUCGCUGUGAAGAUGCAGUGUACCCGCGGCAAGACGGAAAGACCCCGUGAACCUUUACUAUAGCUUGACACUGAACAUUGAGCCUUGAUGUGUAGGAUAGGUGGGAGGCUUUGAAGUGUGGACGCCAGUCUGCAUGGAGCCGACCUUGAAAUACCACCCUUUAAUGUUUGAUGUUCUAACGUGGACCCGUUACCCGGGUUGCGGACAGUGUCUGGUGGGUAGUUUGACUGGGGCGGUCUCCUCCUAAAGAGUAACGGAGGAGCACGAAGGUUGGCUAAUCCUGGUCGGACAUCAGGAGGUUAGUGCAAUGGCAUAAGCCAGCUUGACUGCGAGCGUGACGGCGCGAGCAGGUGCGAAAGCAGGUCAUAGUGAUCCGGUGGUUCUGAAUGGAAGGGCCAUCGCUCAACGGAUAAAAGGUACUCCGGGGAUAACAGGCUGAUACCGCCCAAGAGUUCAUAUCGACGGCGGUGUUUGGCACCUCGAUGUCGGCUCAUCACAUCCUGGGGCUGAAGUAGGUCCCAAGGGUAUGGCUGUUCGCCAUUUAAAGUGGUACGCGAGCUGGGUUUAGAACGUCGUGAGACAGUUCGGUCCCUAUCUGCCGUGGGCGCUGGAGAACUGAGGGGGGCUGCUCCUAGUACGAGAGGACCGGAGUGGACGCAUCACUGGUGUUCGGGUUGUCAUGCCAAUGGCACUGCCCGGUAGCUAAAUGCGGAAGAGAUAAGUGCUGAAAGCAUCUAAGCACGAAACUUGCCCCGAGAUGAGUUCUCCCUGAGACUUAGAGUCUCCUGAAGGAACGUUGAAGACGACGACGUUGAUAGGCCGGGUGUGUAAGCGCAGCGAUGCGUUGAGCUAACCGGUACUAAUGAACCGUGAGGCUUAACCUUACAACGCCGAAG
rnacentral:rRNA from 1 species